UACGAAGGGGGCUAGCGUUGUUCGGAUUUACUGGGCGUAAAGGGCGCGUAGGCGGAUUUUUAAGUCAGGGGUGAAAUCCCAGGGCUCAACCCUGGAACGGCCUUUGAUACUGGAAAUCUGGAGUUCGGGAGAGGUGAGUGGAAUUCCGAGUGUAGAGGUGAAAUUCGUAGAUAUUCGGAGGAACACCAGAAGCGAAGGCGGCUCACUGGCCCGAUACUGACGCUGAGGCGCGAAAGCGUGGGGAGCAAACAGG
rnacentral:rRNA from 1 species